rnacentral:rRNA from 1 species
GGUGAACGCUGGCGGCGUGCCUAAUACAUGCAAGUCGAGCGAACAGACGAGGAGCUUGCUCCUCUGACGUUAGCGGCGGACGGGUGAGUAACACGUGGAUAACCUACCUAUAAGACUGGGAUAACUUCGGGAAACCGGAGCUAAUACCGGAUAAUAUAUUGAACCGCAUGGUUCAAUAGUGAAAGACGGUUUUGCUGUCACUUAUAGAUGGAUCCGUGCCGCAUUAGCUAGUUGGUAAGGUAACGGCUUACCAAGGCAACGAUGCGUAGCCGACCUGAGAGGGUGAUCGGCCACACUGGAACUGAGACACGGUCCAGACUCCUACGGGAGGCAGCAGUAGGGAAUCUUCCGCAAUGGGCGAAAGCUUGACGGAGCAACGCCGCGUGAGUGAUGAAGGUCUUCGGAUCGUAAAACUCUGUUAUUAGGGAAGAACAAAUGUGUAAGUAACUAUGCACGUCUUGACGGUACCUAAUCAGAAAGCCACGGCUAACUACGUG